rnacentral:rRNA from 1 species
CAGUCGAACGGUAACGGCCGCAAGGUGCUGACGAGUGGCGAACGGGUGAGUAAUGCAUCGGAACGUGCCCAAUCGUGGGGGAUAACGCAGCGAAAGCUGUGCUAAUACCGCAUACGAUCUACGGAUGAAAGCGGGGGACUCAGCAAUGAGCCUCGCGCGAUUGGAGCGGCCGAUGUCAGAUUAGGUAGUUGGUGGGGUAAAGGCUCACCAAGCCAACGAUCUGUAGCUGGUCUGAGAGGACGACCAGCCACACUGGAACUGAGACACGGUCCAGACUCCUACGGGAGGCAGCAGUGGGGAAUUUUGGACAAUGGGCGAAAGCCUGAUCCAGCAAUGCCGCGUGCAGGAAGAAGGCCUUCGGGUUGUAAACUGCUUUUGUACGGAACGAAACGGUCUGGGUUAAUACCCUGGGCUAAUGACGGUACCGUAAGAAUAAGCACCGGCUAACUACGUGCCAGCAGCCGCGGUAAUACGUAGGGUGCGAGCGUUAAUCGGAAUUACUGGGCGUAAAGCGUGCGCAGGCGGUUUUGUAAGACAGUCGUGAAAUCCCCGGGCUCAACCUGGGAAUGGCGAUUGUGACUGCAAGGCUGGAGUGCGGCAGAGGGGGAUGGAAUUCCGCGUGUAGCAGUGAAAUGCGUAGAUAUGCGGAGGAACACCGAUGGCGAAGGCAAUCCCCUGGGCCUGCACUGACGCUCAUGCACGAAAGCGUGGGGAGCAAACAGGA